rnacentral:rRNA from 1 species
AUGCAGUCGAACGCGUCUUGGUUAUUGAUGUUAGAUGCUUGCAUUUAACUGAUUUAACAUUGAGACGAGUGGCGAACUGGUGAGUAACACGUGGGUAACCUGCCCUUGAAGUAGGGGAUAACACUUGGAAACAGGUGCUAAUACCGUAUAACAACCAAAACCACCUGGUUUUGGUUUAAAAGAUGGCUUCGGCUGUCACUUUAGGAUGGACCCGCGGCGUAUUAGCUUGUUGGUAAGGUAACGGCUUACCAAGGCGAUGAUACGUAGCCGACCUGAGAGGGUAAUCGGCCACAUUGGGACUGAGACACGGCCCAAACUCCUACGGGAGGCAGCAGUAGGGAAUCUUCCACAAUGGACGAAAGUCUGAUGGAGCAACGCCGCGUGAGUGAUGAAGGGUUUCGGCUCGUAAAACUCUGUUGUUGGAGAAGAACAGGUGUCAGAGUAACUGUUGACAUCUUGACGGUAUCCAACCAGAAAGCCACGGCUAACUACGUGCCAGCAGCCGCGGUAAUACGUAGGUGGCAAGCGUUGUCCGGAUUUAUUGGGCGUAAAGCGAGCGCAGGCGGUUUUUUAGGUCUGAUGUGAAAGCCUUCGGCUUAACCGGAGAAGUGCAUCGGAAACCGGGAGACUUGAGUGCAGAAGAGGACAGUGGAACUCCAUGUGUAGCGGUGAAAUGCGUAGAUAUAUGGAAGAACACCAGUGGCGAAGGCGGCUCUCUGGUCUGCAACUGACGCUGAGGCUCGAAAGCAUGGGUAGCGAACAGGAUUAGAUACCCUGGUAGUCCAUGCCGUAAACGAUGAGUGCUAAGUGUUGGGAGGUUUCCGCCUCUCAGUGCUGCAGCUAACGCAUUAAGCACUCCGCCUGGGGAGUACG